UUUGAUCUUUGAAUACUUGAGCCCAUGGAGCCCAGCUAGGACCAGCUACGCUCUUUGCCUUCUGUACAAAAGAGAAGCACUCAUGGACAGGAUUUGCUGAGUCAGCAGAGGAUGGGCUCAUCACUAGGUUCUGUCAGAUAUAUGACAUUAACUGUUCCUGGGGGUCACAGUGCACAGCUGUCAGAUGGGGCCUUGCACCUUGGAAAAUAAACCUGCCUGGUGCUUGUUUUGCCAGAGACUACAGACCCGUCUACCUCACUUCAACCAUUUCUUAGCUAACUGCACUCAGCAUGCCCUCUGUUGUUGGUCUGGCCAAGUGAUCUGGAAUGCACGUCACAGUGGUGCCACCCACUGGCUCCUCUUACCCUGCUAUUCCUUCACAGAAGCACUUCCCCAAUGAGUUUACUUCUGGCGUCAGAAAGAAAAGUAAGUUACAUGGACUCUUGUGUUUGUGGGUCCCACCCUCCCCUUGUCCAUCUGCUUCCUCCUGGCAGGGUCUGCCCCACAGCCUAAGUCUUCAUGCUGGCAGCUCAGAGGAAACACUGACUCUCUGCUUUGUUGCC